GACGAACCGUGCGAACGUUGUUCGGAAUCACUGGGCUUAAAGGGCGCGUAGGCGGCCUGUUAAGUCGGACGUGAAAUCCCUCGGCUCAACCGGGGAACUGCGUCCGAUACUGGCGGGCUUGAAUUCGGGAGAGGGAUGUGGAAUUCCAGGUGUAGCGGUGAAAUGCGUAGAUAUCGAGAGGAACACCUGCGGCGAAGGCGGGUUGCUGGGCUGAUACUGACGCUGAGGCGCGAAAGCCAGGGGAGCGAACGGG
rnacentral:rRNA from 1 species